GCGCAGAGGGCGAUCAUGGGCGUGGCCAGCUGAUAACCGACUGAUAGCUGAUGAGCCGAUGGCCAACUAUCGAUAGCUUACCUUGUGGGCGAGUGUGUGGUGGCCAAUGGCACGAUGCU